GAUGUCGGGAGGGUUUUUUAGGAACUAAUUAAAAAACAAAUUACAUAGCUCGUCAGGAAACUUCAAGAUAAAUUUAUUAAGCAUAAUUAAUCUGUCAUUAGCAUAUGUGGGUUACUGUAGCACUUAAGGCUAAUCAUAGAGUAACUAGGCUUAAAAGAUUCGUCUCGCGAUUCUCAACUAAACUGUGUAAUUAGUUUAUUUUUUUAUCUAAAUUUAAUGUUACAUGCAUGUGUCCAAAGAUUCGAUGGGAUGGAUGAAAAAAUUUUGGGUAGGAAAUUAAACAGGGCCUGAGUUGUGACAUCUUUGCUCUUUUUUUAAGGGCAUCUUUGCGUAUUAUUAUACAGUACAGUUGCCGCGUGGGUGCCAUGUCGAUCGCUUGCGCAUCCAAUUUAAUUUUUUUUUAAACGUAUAUCUUGGUCUGAUUCGACCUUUUUGAGUCAGCUUAUUGAUAGGGCACCAAAGAUGAAUGCCAAUGGAUUAGCUUCGCUGUCCGAUCAAGCGAGCCGGGUAAUCACGCACUUGUUCAGGUGCAUACUACCAGCAGUGCCGAAAAGGAAAAGGUCCUUGGAUCAGCAAACAAUUACUACUUCUGUAGCUGCGUAUACGGAACUUGGACAGUUGACAACAUUUUUUCAAGUCAGAUGAUCGGUUGGCACCUUAAUUAGGUUAAUAUAGGUUGGCACGCAGGCAUUCCAUCUCCUUCCGUGAGAAAACUUUGCAGGCGGCAGCGUACAAGGCCAUUAACAGAUGUAUACUCCAGGCAAGUGCCUUAUCUAUUUUUUUCACCGACCACCAACACAAUGUCAGAGGAUCUACGAAAAAUCGAUACACAUCUUUCACUUAAUUAUUUUUUUUAUAAAUGCUUAAUUAUUUUUUGUUUUUUUACCAGAGAUGUUGAAUUAAAGCUUGACCGGGCCGAGUGGUCAAGGCGCAGUUGUUUAUUAAGGCCUUGUUUAGUUCCAUCCAAAAUCCAAAAACUUUUCAAGAUUUCUCGUCACAUCGAACGUUGUGACACAUGCAUAGAGCAUUAAAUAUUGAUAAAAAAUAACUAAUUGGACAGCUGGCCUGUAAAUCGCGAGACAAAUCUUUUAAGCCUAUUUAGUUUAUGGU
rnacentral:lncRNA from 1 species